ACCGGAUACAGCGCGGACAGGAGCGUUGGUAAUACGGAGGGUGCAAUCGGUAAUCGGAAUUAUUGGGCGGAAAGCGCACGCAGGUGGCUGGGUCAGUCGAUUGGUAAAGCCCUGGGGUUAACCUGGGAAUUGCAGUCGAUACUACUCGGCUAGAGUAUGGGAGAGGGUAGUGGAAUUCCCGGUGUAGCGGUGAAAUGCGUAGAUAUCGGGAGGAACAUCAGUGGCGAAGGCGGCUACCUGGCCCAAUACUGACACUCAGGUGCGACAGCGUGGGGAGCAAACAGGAUUAGAUACCGUAGUC
rnacentral:rRNA from 1 species